rnacentral:lncRNA from 1 species
UUUAACAGUAUACCAUUUAUUUUUAUAAACUAUCUGUGAGUUAGGGAGUGAGAAGCAUUCAUAGCCUCUCCUUCUCUAUUUCUUUGGAUAGGUAAGUAGUAACCAAGCGGUGCAAUGGGAGUCAUGGUGCAUAUGCAAAGGCUGCAUCAAUGGGAAGAUGUAAACUAGAGCUCACGGAUGACUUAAACCCUCAUCCAGCCCCCUCACCUUACAGAUAAGGAAACUGAGGCUAAGAGUAGAUGCCGUAGCUGAUUUAACAGCCACAAAGCUAAUUUGCCCCAGGGUUGGGAGCAAAUCGACAUCCUCUGACCCUCAGUCCGGGGUCCUCUCAAUUACAUUGCAUUCUCCCUCCUAUUAAGGAGAGAUCCCCUAUAAAUCAUGCUCAUGUUAGUAGGAUUGUGCUUCAGAGCCAAGGCAAGAAGCCAAGGCAGGCACAGUGUAAACUGCCAACUGCAGAAGAUGAUGGAGUCAGCCUUUGGGCUAUUUGCCCCAGGUGUCUAUCUACAGGGCCCUAAAUCACCACUAUAAAUGUAACCAAAGGGGAAAAUUAUAUUUACCAAGAAGAAGACUGAAUGGGAUUUCAAAAGAUAUUUUGAUAGGCAUCCUAAGAGUGUACAGACAAAAGGGAAGCCCUUGUGGAGUAUGUGCCCAAACUUAACAGGUGGCUAGACUGCCUUCCAAAGUGUGUGGCUGUGGCUAAUUGCAGGAGCUCAUUCGGCUGAUGGAGGCCAGAGUUCAGGCCUGCGCUGGGAGUCCCCUUUUCUGCCCUGUCUUGUGCACCAGUCAACUUCUGCUACAAAUAAAAGAAUCAACAUCUUAGGGUUGAAAGGAACUCGAAUAGUGAUCU